AAGGUCAGCAGUCUGAAUGGAGCUGAGACACUUACUGCCCAUGCCAAGCAGUGCCAAGCACCUCUGGAAGCCCCUGCCUAGGACCCCCAAAUUUAGAUUCAUGCUGCAGUCUGGAGAGUGUUUUGACGGCUGCCGGGCUACAGGGAAAAGCGCACUGCACACUGCCUCUGAGAUGAGACAGAGCUCUCCAGGCUGGGAGUCUGAGGAAGCCGGCCGGACCUGGGUAGCGCUGCUCAGGGCCAGGUGCAAGAACCCACGGUACUGAUGGAAGUGGCUUUGGACCAUUUUCCUAACAGAUGAGAUUUCUGGAGAUUCGCUUCUCAUUCUUUGAGGUUCCAGGGUGGCACUCGGGUUU
ensembl:lincRNA Gm9866 predicted gene 9866